AGUAAUUCUCUGGUCCAGCUGGCAUUACAGUGCAAUGUUCUCACUGAUGCUCAGUUGAAUAGUUAUCUUAAGCUUACAGAGAAUCUGUGUGACACCACAGACUUAACGGGAUGAAAAAAAAAAAGAUGCAGAAUUGCCAGGCUUCAUGGAACUCUGAGCUACAUGCAAAACCUUCAUCCCUCCGUAUCCUGCUGCUGCACAGCCACAGCAGCAAAGCUGGACAGAGUUAGGAAGUCAUGGUUUGAAACCCCAAAUCAGAAACCCAAAGACAAGCAGCUACAAAUUAAGCUCUGCAGAACUGCAGAGGUUUUACAUCUGCACCACCUGCACAUCAGAGACCUGGGCCAGGAGAGCAGCUUGUUUCCUGUGGGCACUUGGUCAGUGACAGCCAGGGGGAAGGACACCUCAACCUCAGCUGGGCAGCAGCUCACUGCACUCAUUUCCCAAGCCCAGGGGCCUUCAUCCCAUUAGCCCAAAGUCUGCUUCCUGGGCUGGGCUGGGCUGGGCUUUGUGGAAGGUGCUGUGGUGAACACAGCAGAGCAGUGAGUGAAACAGAGAAAUGCUGCUUCCUCCAAAAGUACAUGCAUCCACAAUGCUUCCUCGUGGUGUUUCUGUACACAUUUUAAUGCCUGCACUUACCUUUGUCCACAUUCCAAACUGCAAAUGUAAAAUGCACUAUAUUCAGAACACAUGUAUACAGUUUUGCCUCCAUUUCUUCCCUGUAGCACUGGGUAACUUGUGUGCCCCUGCCUCAAGGAAUUGAGUAAGGGAGUGGAGAGGCAUUGGAGCAUAUUUGAAAGACAUCAGUUAGAGUCGUGUACUGGUUUCACUCUGAAUUUCAACAGGAAUGUGGUGUUAGCAUCUAGGUUUAUGACCACUGCCAUUGCCUCAGUCUCUGACAGAAUUUGAUUUCUGCCUAAAGAAAAAGGCCUGAAAUGGUGACCUGCCCCCACACAGAAAAGAUGCCAGCAGAUUCAGUAAUUCUGCUGUAAUUUUAAUUUGCUGUAAUAAUCUACGUUUUGUUCAUUUUUACCUCAAAAUCUGGACAGACAUAUUGCUAUACUCUGCAAGCUGUUUUUCCUGGUUGAUAUAUUUCCACCACGCAGAUCCUUUUGCCUAAAUCUCAGUAAAGAUUCUGCAACAAUUUGUACUUGCUCACUUGCUAUAUCAGCUACAUAUACUAGGUUUAGUGCAGUACCUGCUGCUUGGUCAUUCUCCUUCCAUCUGCCAGAGCCUACGUAAUAUUUAAUUCCUUAAUUUUGAGUAUUCAUCACAAUAUCACUUGGUGGAUUCUUACCUCUUGCUGACAACUGCUUGUUCUUCCAUAGCUUUUACAUAAGAUGUGUAGAUGCAGAAAUCUGCUAUGUCACUUCCAUCUCUGUGUUUCAAGACUGAGACUUCUCUGAUUUACAGCAGCUUUCCUUCAAAAUUUUCUUUGAAAAUCUUUUACCUGAAAAUUGUUUUAAAGGUUACAGGUCAUUUAUUGCUCUGCAGUCAAGAAUUUCUUUCCAGAUGUCAGACACUACUGUGCUUUAAUUAUACAGUCCUCUGAAAGGCCUUCUACUAUGAAAUUUUCUUUGUUGUCUGAAAGUCAUUUUAUUGGCAAAACAUAUGACUAACAAAAGGGAUAUGACUCUAUGCUUACUGUAUUAUGAAUUAUUACACUGUGUACAGCUGAGCUUUAAAAACAAUUUUCAGACAGCUCUGAUUCUGGUGACUAAAGCUUUAAACCGCUUAGGUUUUUUUACUCCUUUAUUAAAGCCAGAGGUGGUGAAUUUCUAAUUUCUGAUCCCAUUUUUUGUCAGGCCAGGCCUGAGCAUCUGUAGGUCAGACAUAUGUCCUGGAACUAUCUGUGCUUUUUUGAGUUCUCUGAUGGAAACUCAUACGAACUGUAAGAAAAUGUUAGAAAAUUGUGACACAUUGUCUAAUUCACAAAUUGAGAUAAAGUGAGAGCAGUUCUUCUCAGCCUGCACGGAGCUUAAAGCUUGACCCCUUCUGCCUUAGCCCUGAAGGAGAAUUUUUUGCCUGAAACAUUGUCUGUCUUUUUAGUUGGUCCAGUGAAAACUCGUUUGUGCCUCAGAACCGUGCCUUGCACGGUGCCUUCGUGAAGCACCCUGUGAAAACAUCCCUGCUGGAGCUCCAUACAGCAGGGACUGUUCCACUGGCAGGGCUCAAGAGUUCUUUAUUCCUGUCAGACACAAACCAUUAUAGAGCAGCAUUCUCCAAGAGACAGAUCUGCUUAUGGGACAUAUAAAUACUGUUUUCCUUCUAUUGAUGUCCAUAGGAACAAGGAUGGAGCUCGCUCCAUGAAUAUGUAAAUAUAUUUUACAAAGUGGGACUGUUCCAGUUGAAGGGGCUGGUGGUCAGGUCGCUGCUGUGAGGCAGAAACCUAACCUGAAUUUGCAGAGGAGAGGAGAAUUCCUCUCAAACACAGGAAUCUAUAUACCUAGCAUCACAUAUCUACAUCUGCACCUCUUUACAGCAAAGAAUUCCUUACUGUUUGACACUGUGCAGGAUAAUUAUUAUCAGUGCACUGCAGUACAUCUGGAAAGAUGAAGGAAUGCUGGCUCAGCAUACCUCAGGCAAAGCACUGCACCUCUUAAAGAAUGAAAGCAUACAUAAAACAGGAGCAUAAGAGCUGCAUCAGUCUUUCAUGCCUGAAAGCCAGGCAUAAUUGCUUUGAAGUGGAAGGAGUUACAGCACUGCAGCUCUCCAACUGCAGAACAGGUAACAACAGGAAUUUAAAUAAAUACUCACCAAUCCUUGCAAAUUCUUUGAUUCCUUAUUCAAAGAUGCUACCCAUCCACUAGAAAAUGUUAUGUGGUAGAGGCAGGCAUUCCUCUGUCCUUUCCUGCCAGGAUUAAAAUGAAACUUGACUGUUAUCUCAAGAAUGAGCCCAAAGACCAGACUUAGAUUCUGGAAAAACUUUUUUCCUCUCAAAGUACCCUUUUAAUAAGUGAC